ensembl:lncRNA
UUUUGACACUACAUGUUGCUGACAUUGAACCUGUGAAAGAACCUCAAGCCAGGAGGAGUGAGGGCGUGUUCUUCCUGUCUUCCUCCCUGCUGCAGCUGCAUCUAACAUCCCAGCACAGCCUUGGCUCUUGGCAAUAAGGUGCACCUGGCAUUACUUCUAUUACGCUUUGACGGUGCAUGCGUAAUCCGUUGUAUAUGGGUUCAGAAAAAGAGCCAAACAAUUUAGCAUAAAUAAAUAAAAGAAUAGACCUGCUUUAUGCUACUAAAGCCACCUCUGUUCCCGUCUAAAUGACCGGGAAAGAGUGUGACAGCUUGUAAUAGUACAUUCCCUGUAUAAAGGAGUAGUUGGAUGGUAAUUGUAGGGGUGGUAGCAGUUGUGGUGUGAGUGUAUUCACUGUACAUUUUUUAUAGUAACAGUAAUGGUGGUGGUGGUGGUGGUGGUGGUAGUAGUAGUAGUAUGCUAGUAGUAGUAGAGGUACUGUAGUUGUAGUAAUGGUGGGGGUACCACUACUAGUACAUUGAUGGAAUUAAGGAGUAAUUGAGUAGUACAGUAGUAGCAAUAAUAGUAUAUUGACUGUAUAUAAAAUUAGCAGCAGUACAUAUUGUCAUCAAAUCUUAAACAAAAUAAUUCGAUUUUUACUGGGCAGCCCAUAUACAAUCGAUCAUUUAAACAUUUUUAAAAGGUGCUUCCAUGUGUGUUUGUCAACUUUCUGUAUAACAUUUCACUUUAACCAAACACUAAGUUUUUGCAAGCAUUUCUGUUUGUGUGGAAAUGGGCUUUUCUGCAUCUGGUAUCUAUUUACGGGACAAAUAAGUGGCCCAAAUCAUAUGCAUUUUCCCCAAAGUUUCUCCAGUUGCAUGCAAUCUUUUUCAGAUUAUUGAAAACGCACAGUACAGACUGUACUAUUUGUUAAAAUUGUCUAGUCUUAUUUAGUACAUUAUUUUAAAUGGUGAGGCAAGUGGAGGAAACUUGAAUCAUGAGGUUUAUGAAUGGGGAACUGGGUGUGGCUAUAUUUAACCUGAUUAAUCGCCCAGACUGCUUUCGAACAAAGAGAACUGACAGACUGGUAUCUGGUUACAGUCAACAAUACAACUUGAACAGACUUUUUUCAUUUAUUUUUGCCCAACCAAACCCUAUAAUUCUAAUUCAAACACAGUCCCUGAUUCAGCCCUUAUAGUGUUGUAAUGUUUUGACUUUUGUGUUGCUAUCAUUCAUUCCAAAGAUUUUCUCAUCUGACGAGUUUAUUCCCUUCAUCAUAUACGAAACGGACAUAAAGCAUUCAUGAAAACAUACAUGCAUACUGUACUCCUCAUUGAAAUUGCUUAGUAGGGAACUACUGAAGAACCAUAGACAUCACCAUGUGAAAAAACCGUAUGGGAAAGUGCACCACAAUAGCACUUUAAUUCUUCAAAUUAAGCAAAGUUAUUUUUGUGUGUUUUGUUCCUGCUGACUUGGCGCUGGUCUAUGGAAAGACUGGUUUAUCAUAAAGCUUCACUGAGCCAUGCAGAGGGCAAAAUGAAUCCAGCUUUCCUGGAUGGCUGAAGCCCUGCAUACUUGCCAUUCCUCUGAGGUAUACAUUGACGUGUUAGUUAACAAAUCAAGAUCUUUGGACCCCAUGGCAUUCCCUAAAUGCAGCGCAUGUUAAAAAAGGAAAUCACCCAAGCUGACAUUAACCUUUUUACAAAUAUUUUAUAGGUUGUGUAUAUAAUGUAUAGUAACUGCAGAUUUUAUUUCACCUGAACAUUCUCCCAUACAGAGUACAUGUUUUCCCUCCUCACGAUGUUAAAUAAAAUUAUGAUUAUUAAAAUGUGACUUUAAGUGACAGGGCCAUCCCUUUACACUAAGAUGUAUCAGCCAUUAUUCUCCUUUUGAACAAGGGAAUGGAAGUGUGUACAACAGGGAGGGAUUUGAAUUAAAAAUGUUUUUUUAAAGUCAAAGUAAAGACUGUUUUCUUUUAUGUGAGGGUAUGCUUGGUAAGUAUUGGUUUUAUUAUUGAUAAAUGGCUAUAACCUGUACAAAUAGUCCCCAUAUUUCACAGCACCAAAAUAUAUAUAAUAUAUAACAUGUGUCCAAAUCCAGCACUUAUAUUUAUUUCAUUUUGGACCUGAAAUACUGUGGUUGCUGUUUCCUGGUAGUUUAGCUGACAAUAUAUUUCUGUACAUUUCCGAAUUCAUUCUGUUGGGGCUGUCAUCAGUUACAUCAUCAAUAAAUACAAGUUGGUCAGUUCCAGUGGCAGCCAUACAUGCCCAAGCUAGAACACUACCUCUACCAUAUUUAUAGAUAUGAAAUUAAUUUUAAAAACUAUGAUUGAGGCCCAGGUGCAACUGCACAUCCUGCACCACUGUUACCCCACUGGAUUAGAGGUUAUGCAAGGAAUAUUGGUUCUCCAGACUUUUCUCUUGCCAUCACUUGGGUACAUGAGGAAACAACAGCAUAUUUGGCAGGUGGUCAUAAUGUUUUGGCUUGUCAGUGUAUAUGUACUGUGUAUGUGUCUUGCAUAUGGAUUCUGAUCCCUGACAAAUUCUAUUAUGAAUUACGAAGUGUACAUAUCCAGCCCCUGCCCAUGGAAGCUCCCAUUGACACAAAUGAAAGGAAUUAUCCUAAAAGGACAUGUUUAGACCAUUGGCAUUAAAAGUGCUGACUUUUUUUUGUUGAUAAAACCUUACUGCUGAAGAAUCAUUGGUCAGGCUGUGAAUCUGAAUUAAAAUCACGACAGCAAAAUGUUAGAGUAAUACAAAUGUAUAGUUUAAGAAAAGGGUACAAACUGUCCAAGUAUUUGAAAGUCCCAGUGAGCAAAGUUAGAACAAUAAUUGGGAAGUGUUAGCUGCAUCACAUCACCCAGGCACUGCCAAUCGAAGACCAUCUCUCAAUACUCAGAGCUCAAACAAUAAGGAGGCUUGUGAGAGAAGCCAAGAAGUAAUGGUCCAACUAAUAAACAUAGUCAGUUCUUACCGGAAACCCAAGUGGUCAUUGGUCAGCGAUGUAUCAGCUGUUGCCAAGGAUUGCUCCAGUCACAAAAUGUCAUGUUUUCCUAUUGACUGUCUAAUCAUCAGGUUACUUGCUCAGUCUGAUGAAGCUGCUUGGUUCUCCGUUUCCUUUUCAUGGGGGGGAUAUACACGAUCAUGUGAUGGCAGUGAGUUACCCCAGAGGAGAAGAACCUAACGCCA